GCUUUUGUACACACCGCCCGUCGCUACUACCGAUUGAAUGAUUUAGUGAGGUCUUCGGACUGGUACGCGGCACCGACUCUGUCGUUGCCGAUGCUACCGGAAAGAUGACCAAACUUGAUCAUUUAGAGGACGUAAAAGUCGUAACAAGGUUUCCGUAGGUGAACCUGCGGAAGGAUCAUUA
rnacentral:rRNA from 1 species